rnacentral:rRNA from 1 species
GACGAACGCUGGCGGCGUGCUUAACACAUGCAAGUCGAACGGUUAAGCGAGUGCUUGCACUCGUGGAUCAGUGGCGAACGGGUGAGUAACACGUGAGUAACCUGCCCAUCACUCUGGGAUAAGCACUGGAAACGGUGUCUAAUACUGGAUACGACCAACCCUUGCAUGGGGUGUUGGUGGAAAGAUUUAUCGGUGAUGGAUGGACUCGCGGCCUAUCAGCUUGUUGGCGGGGUAAUGGCCCACCAAGGCGACGACGGGUAGCCGGCCUGAGAGGGUGACCGGCCACACUGGGACUGAGACACGGCCCAGACUCCUACGGGAGGCAGCAGUGGGGAAUAUUGCACAAUGGGUGAAAGCCUGAUGCAGCGACGCCGCGUGAGGGAUGACGGCCUUCGGGUUGUAAACCUCUUUCAGCAGGGAAGAAGCGAAAGUGACGGUACCUGCAGAAGAAGCACCGGCUAACUACGU